GACGUAGGGUGCAAGCGUUGUCCGGAUUUAUUGGGCGUAAAGAGCUCGUAGGCGGUUUGUUGCGUCGGCUGUGAAAUCCCGAGGCUCAACCUCGGGUCUGCAGUCGAUACGAGCAAACUAGAGUGUUGCAGGGGAGACUGGAAUUCCUGGUGUAGCGGUGAAAUGCGCAGAUAUCAGGAGGAACACCGGUGGCGAAGGCGGGUCUCUGGGCAACAACUGACGCUGAGGAGCGAAAGCGUGGGGAGCGAACAGG
rnacentral:rRNA from 1 species